rnacentral:rRNA from 1 species
GAUCAUGGCUCAGGAUGAACGCUGGCGGCGUGCCUAACACAUGCAAGUCGAGCGAUCUCUUCGGAGAGAGCGGCGGACGGGUGAGUAACGCGUGGGUAACCUGCCCUGUACACACGGAUAACAUACCGAAAGGUAUGCUAAUACGGGAUAAUAUAUAAGAGUCGCAUGACUUUUAUAUCAAAGAUUUUUUCGGUACAGGAUGGACCCGCGUCUGAUUAGCUUGUUGGCGGGGUAACGGCCCACCAAGG